AUUUUUUUUUUUUUAAACUAUUACUUUGUUGAUACGGUGGAAUAUAUGAAUACAAUUCUCUGGAAAAUUGUUAAUGUUUCUUUUUACAAGCUCCUAAGAAUUAAACAAUUGGUUGCACAGUUUGGGCAUGGCGGGUAUUCUGCAUCUGUUAGUGCGAUUGUAAGUUUACAAGUGGGUUAUCAGACUGAUUCAGUGUGCUGGUUAGUUUUUGAAAUAUGAACAGUAUGAUAUAAUUAUGGGUAAUAAACUAAUACAUCGUAUACAAUCUAAAUUUAUAAACUGAUGCCCUUUUUAGUUGUGCAAUUAUGUGUGGUUAUAUGUGCUCAGUUAAGUGUGCAAAUUAUAGGUGGGUAAUUUGGUAGUCUCUAUGUUGUAUUUAAACAACCAAGGGAAAACAUUAUUACUUCAAGAAUCAGUAGGUACAAUAUUAUUGCUAUAUUUUAUGUUUGCUUUCAUAUUGAAUUGCAUUUUCGCCAAAGUACAAUAUUUAGUUUGGUAAUAUGCAUUCAGAGUUGUCUCUGUGUGGGAGAAAUUAUAUAAACUGUGUGGUAUGUCUGUCUGCUGCUGCUGGGCAAAUAAUUGAUUGUUAAUUGAAUUCUAAUGUUGAGAAGUGGCCGUUGUAGUGCUCUUUUGUAGCAGUGGGAUUAUUGAUGAGUGAUAGUUGCAUGGAAUGGGUAAUGGGUGAUUUAGUUGAAUUUUUGCUUGAAUUGAGAUGCUGGGCAGUGUGAUUUAUACUGCUUUGGUGAGGAAAUUCUGAAAAGGAUCGUUGAAUUGAUGGUUGAUGGGAUUUGUUUGAAAGUGGUGAAUGGUAAUGGUGUCAAAGGAGAGUAUUGAAGUUGGUAUCGUGCAGUCACAGUUGGUUUUGUGUGCUAGUAAACUGGUAAACUGUAUCUUAUAUUUCUCCCAAGCUUAGUCUUUAGGAUGGUACUGUGCAUUUACCUUUGUUUCUGUGUGCAUUUAACGUUGUUUCUGUGUGCAAUCCAACUGUGAGGUAAUGUGCAUUCAAACUGUACUGUGCAUUUAAGGUUGUUUCUGUGUGCAUUUUAGUUGCUUGGUACUGUGCAUUGGGGACCCGAUCACCAUUCUGUUCAGAACAUGUAUGCCAUUGUGAUUAUGUAUUUAUUGUUUGCUUAUGUUAUAAGCUGGGCUAUAGGGGUUAUAUUUUUGUUGUGUCAGUAUGUAUUACUCAAUGUAAAGUGUUUGUUAUGUGAUUUUUAACUUUGUUUACUUGUGCUUUGUGUUUAAACUUUCACCCCACAGAUUGUAAACUGUAUCUUAUAUUUCUCCCAAGUUUAGUCUUUAGGAUGGUACUGUGCAUUUACCUUUGUUCCAUUGUGCAAGAAAUUAAUGCAGUGUGUGUAUGUACUACCGUUUAUAUUUGAGUAGUUUACCUUAGAUUUGGUAUGAUUCCCCUGAUUAAAAACCAAAUCUGUGACCACUUUUCUAUUGUGGAAUAUGCAAUAACUGUAUCUGUGCUGUUCCCCCUUUCGGACUGUGCAAUAUUUACAAUUUCAAAACAACCCGUAUAUCAGUUUGGAUAUUUAUUUAGUCGUUUGUUUUUUUUUUUUUUAUAAUUUGGGCUAUGGGCGUUUUAUUUUUAUUGUGUCAGUAUGUAUUACUCAAUGUAAAGUGUUUGCUAUAGUUAUCCCAAGUUGAAUAUUUACGUAUUGAAUUACAUUUCUGCUAAAGUAGAGUCUUCAGGUUGGUAAUGUGCAUUCAGAUUGGAACUCAUUUUAGCCAAUGUAGCUAACGAUACUUGGUACUGUGCAUUUAAGGAUGUCUCUGUGUGCAUUCCAACUGUGAAGUAAUGUGCAAUCGAACUGUACUGUGCAUUUAAGGUUGUUUCUGUGUGCAAUACAACUGUGGGGUAAUGUGCAUUCGAACUGUACUGUGCAGUUAAGGCUGUUUGUGUGUGCAUUGUGGUUAUGUUUUUAUUGUUUGUUUAUGUUAUAAGCUGGGCUAUGGGGUUUUUAUUUUUAUUGUGUCAGUAUGUAUUACUCAUUGUAAAGCAUUUGUUAUGUGAUUUUUAACUUUGUUUGCUUGUGCCUUGUGUUAAAACUUCCGCCCCACAGAUUGUAAACUGUAUCUUAUAUUUCUCCCAACUUUGGUCUUUAGGGUCGUACUGUGCAUUUAUAUUUGUUUCAUUGUGCAAGAAAUGAAUGCAGUGUGUGUGUGUAUGUAUUAGCGUUUAUAUUUGAGUAGUUUACCCUAUAUUUGGUAUGAUUCCCCCGAUUAAAAACCAAGUCUGUGAGCACUUAGGGAGUAGUGGACUACGCGAAAACUCAAUCUGCGCACUUAUGUAAACUGCUUGUUAUAAAUAUCCCAUGUCGAAUAUUUAUGGACUGAAUUACAUUUUUGCUGAAGUAGAGUCUUCAGCUUGGUAAUGUGCAGCUGGAGACUGAACUAGCUUCACAAAUCAGGGAAGUCAAACCUAAAAGGAUGUAGAUGCUGUGGCGGGUUGCUAGAAACCAAUUGGACUCUGCUGUAUACACUAUGCUUCACAUGGAGUUGUACUGUGGCUAGGGUGUCGCAAACUGGGAUGUAGGUCUGGAGAAAGGGAUCUACUGGCAAUGGUGUAUUUUCCGCAAGUACAUUAUGAGGGAAAUACUUAUUAGUGACAUCAACAUUCACCAGAAUAACAACAUCAAGCGUGCGCGUAACUUUGCGAAUGAGCUCGCACGGAAGAUGUCCGUACCAUUGAAUUAAAUUGUGCUAUGAGUUCUUUUCACAGUGGGGUGAAUUUACGAGUGUAAUAAUUCAUAGCCUUAGGACCCUGUACAACCUUCGAAUUUCUAUUUUCUGAUGUGGGGAUUUUUGACGUGUACUUAGACACGGGGGAAUAAAUAAAGGGGUUUUGGCUAUAUUGCGA